rnacentral:rRNA from 1 species
AUACGUAGGGUGCAAGCGUUAAUCGGAAUUACUGGGCGUAAAGCGUGCGCAGGCGGUUUUGUAAGACACAGGUGAAAUCCCCGGGCUCAACCUGGGAACUGCCUUUGUGACUGCCAGGCUAGAGUACGGCAGAGGGGGAUGGUAUUCCGCGUGUACCAGUGAAAGGCGUAGAACUGCGGAGGAACACCGAUGGCGAAGGCAAUCCCCUGGGCCUGUACUGACGCUCAUGCACGAAAGCGUGGGGAGCAAACAGGAGUAGAUACCCUGGUAGUCCACGCCCUAAACGGUGUCAACUGGUUGUGGGGUCUUCAUUGACUCAGUAACGAAGCUAACGCGUGAAGUUGACCGCCUGGGGAGUACGGCCGCAAGGUUGAAACUCAAAGGAAUUGACGGGG